CGAGAAAGCCCGCAAGGGUGAGUAAAGCGGCGCACGGGUGCGUAACACGUGGGUAAUCUGCCCUAGAGUCCGGAAUAACUCGCCGAAAGGCGUGCUAAUGCCGGAUGAGACCACGGGAGCUUCGGCUCCUGCGGGAAAAGGUGGCCUCUGUAUACAAGCUAUCGCUCUAGGAUGAGCCCGCGGCCCAUCAGCUAGUUGGCGGGGUAAUGGCCCACCAAGGCUACGACGGGUAGCUGGUCUGAGAGGACGAUCAGCCACACUGGAACUGAGACACGGUCCAGACUCCUACGGGAGGCAGCAGUGGGGAAUCUUGCGCAAUGGGCGAAAGCCUGACGCAGCAACGCCGCGUGUGUGAUGAAGGUCUUCGGAUCGUAAAGCACUGUCGCGAGGGACG
rnacentral:rRNA from 1 species